CCCCCAGUAACUGCGAGUGAAGAGGGAAGAGCUCAUCAUUGGAAUCUGGCAGCGUUGCGCUGUCCGAGUUGUAGAUGAGAAGAGUAGGUCAUCUGGACUGCGUGGUGUCCAAGUACAAUAGGCCGUCAGUGGGACAUCAUAGAGGGUGACAAUCCCGUCCUUGACAACCAACGUACGAGUCCAUUACGAUGCCUAUCUCAGAGAGUCGAGCAGUUUGGGAUUUGCUGCUUAAACAUGGGAGGUAGAUUCCUUCUAAAGCUAAAUACAGGCAAGAGACCGAUAGAGAACAAGUACCGCAAGGGAAAGAUGAAAUAGAACUCUGUGAAGGGAGUCAAAAAGACGUGAAAUUGUUGCGAGAGAAGCGAUUCAAGUCAGCGUAGCUAGGCCCAUCAAGCUUCUUGCUUUGGACUAGCUUUGCCAGCGGUCUUGUCCUUUUAGAGACUUGACUUUUGACGUGCCCUGUCCGGUCUAACGGGCAGGCCCUUCGGGGCCAGUGGCAUGGCUGGUGGAAUGGCUUGCAAUCGACCCGUCUUGAAACACGGACCAAGGAGUCUAACAUGUGUGCGAGUAUAAGGGUGGCAAACCCGUAUGCGCAAAGAAAGUGAUAGCCUUUUUAUGGCUGAGAAUGGCCUGAUGACCAGACAAGCAAUAUUAUGUUCCUCGUACGGUCAUUGCCCAAGUCCCGUGGUCAGAUCCCAUGGACAUGGAGUUAGAGCAUACAUGCUAGGACCCGAAAGAUGGUGAACUAUGCCUGGACAAAGCGAAGCCAAAGGAAACUCUGGUGGAGGCUUGUAGCGAUUCUGACGUGCAAAUCGAUCGUCUGAUCUGGGUAUAGGGGCGAAAGACUAAUCGAACCAUCUCAUAGCUGGUUC
rnacentral:rRNA from 1 species